ensembl:lncRNA
GACGCAGGCGCACUGCACCGCGCCGCCGCCAUUUUGUGUCCGAGCCUGUGGAGCGAUUAAACCGUGCGCGGAGCUGCUUCUUUGGCGGCAGCGGCGGCGGCGGAAGCCGGUGCGGGUGCGCGGAGCUGGCUGGGGACGCCGGGUGGCCGGAGCGGUGGAGCGGCGGCGGAGCGAGCGCUGCGGGGGGUGUGGCGCGGAGAAUGAUUACAGACCUGGGUCCAAAGAACAAGAUGCAGUAGCGGACAGAUUGCUGACCAGAGGCUUGAGAGCUGAGUUCUGUUUUCCCUGCUCAAACUGACUUUGCAGCCACGGAGAGCCAGAUUUUGAAAAUUAUAUGAACUAGGAAUAAUUAACAUCUUGAUGUUUGGCCUUUCUGAUCAUGGAUAUAG